UCUGCAUUUGGUGAAGUUUCACAACUGAAUAUAAUGUAGGAUAUGUUUAAAAAACUGCUGAAACUGACUUUAAGUCUGCAAUUGAUAGUGGUUUGUGCUUGCCUCUUGGUUGCAAGAUCGAUAAAGAUUUGAUGUAGUCAUAAGGGAAAAAGAGGAUAGAAGAGUGCAGAUAGAGAAACUGUAAGGAUACCAAGCUGAAUAACUGAAAUUAAGACAGCAGGAAAGUAGGGGUGAUUUGAGGAAUUUGCUGUUGUAUCAAAGUCUGCUUAAAAAUUAGGAUUUAAUAUGCAGUUAAGUUUUCAUUCAAGGGUGUUAUCUAUUGUAACAGAAUGCAUACUGCCAGUCUUCUAAUUACACCAUUAUCAUCAGCUUCAGCAAAGAUCAUUGCACAGUUCUGAUGUACCUUAUGCAGUGUUUUGACUAGAGUGUAGAAUAUUAGAUAUAGUUCUGACUAUGUGUAAUCUCUUCUUACAGACCUUGGAGGACAGGCUUGGCCAGCAGUCACCCUUCAGGUUUUUUAAGGCAUGUGCUGGCCUGGUAGACAAGACAAGAGCAGUGGAUAGUGUCUGCCUGGACUUCAUCAAGACUUUCAGUGCUGUCUCGCAUAAGAUCCUCAUAGAAAAGCUUUUCAGUAAAUGCUCCUAGGAAAUCCUGAGAGGAGGAUCUUCUUACAACAUCAAGAAUUCUAACUAGGACAAGCCCACAUCAGUAUUAAGCACAGCAAGAUGAUCGACAGACACAUUUAGGACACCAGCAUGACUUCCAUAACAAGUGAUAAGAUGGAUGCCAUCUGGAAAUCACACAAAAGGAGUUGGAUGCAGAUAAGCUUCUGUCAAAAUUGAUCUCUGUAUUUUUCUGUAUUUUUUGUGCAAGUUCCUGAGUGUGGUUAUUUUUAUAUAAUAAAGAUUCUCUUGCUUGUACACCGCCUUAGCAUACUUAUGGGUGAAGAAGUUCUGAGAGUUAAGGGCUUUGGAUGAGUGAAUAUUUAGUUUGGAAAGGUUUCAGAGAAAGGAUAUAAGCUGUCUGGCUUUGCCAUCGUUUGUCAUGAUGGAUCCUAAUAAUUUUGAACCCAGUUUCUGCUGCCAUGAACAGCAGAAAAGCUGUAGAGGGUUACAGGUUCCAGAGUAUAUAGCAGGUUGUUCUUACAAUCAGGUGUACAUUAGUAACUUCUACUCCUAUAGGUCCCACAAGCCAUACAAGCACUUGUCUGAAGACAAGUAAUUCCUGCCCUGCCUGUUCACUGUAUGCUUGAACAUCCUUCUGAAGCAGGAACACCUACUUAUUUUUAUUGGACUCAGCUCUGCUUUAUAAUGCUGAGAAGACACUCUGACCCUUUUAAGGAAGAGCACCUCACUUUUAUCACUUCCAAGUUCUUAAAAGCCCCUUCAAACUUGUCAUCUUUGUCAGCAAAAAAGGGCUCGUGCAAGCUGUAAUUGGGACAGUUCCCAAGUUACCAUAAUUACUCUUUGUCUAAAGCUAAUAAUAAACAAUUUAAUGUAGCGCUAAAACAGAUGUAAAAGAAAUAGCUGUUGAGGCCUGCGAUACAGAAAAUUUAUAUGCUUGGAUUCUCAUAAAUUCAGCUUUUAAUUAACCUCCCUGUCAAAAGGGAGGCAUUUGCACAAGGUAAGUGAAUUGUCUAUUGUUAAGUUGAUACUAACAGAGGUCAGGCCAGGUGGCGAGCCUGGGCUCUCCAGAGUGCAGUGGUAGAUCACAAGCUAAUGCUAUCUGAGACGAUGUUUCAGAAAUUGAGGGAGUAAUAAAUUAAUACCAUGUUUAAAACUGAAGUGUCAGGACUUCUCCAAAAGUGGGUUUAUAUUCAGCUGAAUCACCAGUACGCCAAGGAAUUCAUCAGGAGUUCUUUGCUGUAAACAGCAGGUUGUAGCUCAGGGGCUAGUGCCAGGACAUACAGCUUGUCAAGGCAAUCAGCUCCUGACUCCAGCCAGCUGCAGACAUGUCCUGACAGCUCCUAGCUGAAUAAAACAUGGAGAGGACUUUGGGAAUUGGUCCAAACACAGAUAGCAAAUAAAGUUUGUGGUUGCUCUCGUUGUUUUUGUUUGUUUUCUGAAUCUGCUUGCUAGUUUCUUAAUUUAUUUUACUUUUCAUCUGGUCAUCUGGGAAAUGUCAUUUGGAUUGGAAAACAUUUUCAGCAUAAGCUGGCAAUAGCUCAGGUGGCCUAACUUCAGAGGAGAGCAAUAAAAUAAACUUUUGCUAAAUUGCACCUAUGGCAUUAAGCUACAUAUGCUUCAAUUAGAGUUUGCCCUGCUACCUUCUGGAAGAAAGUAAUCUGAGGAGGAGCUGUGAAAGAAGUGGAAAAGUUGCCUUCUAAGCAAGUCAAAGUAGGAGAGAAGCCAGCCCAAUCAAAUACUGGCUAAAUAAAACAUGAAACAUAUAAAAAUAAUAGUAAUUUUUAAAGAGAGGAAAGAGGUGGAAAUUAAAAAACUGUAACAAAGAGCAACAAAAUCAGCAAUGCAGUGAAGUUGUUGACCGAGAAGCAGAUGACAAUAAACUGAGGCAGCUUCCAAGAAUCAUGAAACUAAGGUAUGAAAGCUGAAUACUGAGAAAUAAGAUAAUCUGCUAUCUAAGGGCAGAUACAACUUUUUUAAUGUUACUGGAAACUUGA